GUAUAAAAUACGUAUACACCGGGAAUAAUCCGGCGUUGGCGUGCAAGUUUGAAUGAAUCUCUUGUCGUUUUUGUUUUUUUCUCAGCUUCCUCGUCCGAUCAAAUCUUCCUUUGAUAGCGAUGGAUGUGUUAUGUAUGUUACAAAGCUGGUGAACCAACUUUAACACGCCUUAAUGGAUGCCCCACCGCAUCAAUUUCAGAAUUUUACUACUACUUCUCUGGAAACUGGAAAGGUUAAUAAAUGUAUUUGCUGGUUUGAUUUCAAGUUUUAAUUCCGAUUGAUUUUUUGGGUUUAUUAUAUAAAGUUUGCAAUUUUUGAGUAAUUUAAGGGAUCUUUCUGGGUAGAGCUAUAUGGAGGACA